rnacentral:rRNA from 1 species
GACGAACGCUGGCGGCGUGCUUAACACAUGCAAGUCGAACGGAAAGGCCCUGCUUGCAGGGUACUCGAGUGGCGAACGGGUGAGUAACACGUGGGUGAUCUGCCCUGCACUUCGGGAUAAGCCUGGGAAACUGGGUCUAAUACCGGAUAGGAGCCAUUUUUAGUGUGAUGGUUGGAAAGUUUUUUCGGUGUAGGAUGAGCUCGCGGCCUAUCAGCUUGUUGGUGGGGUAAUGGCCUACCAAGGCGGCGACGGGUAGCCGGCCUGAGAGGGUGGACGGCCACAUUGGGACUGGGAUACGGACCAGACUCCUACGGGAGGCAGCAGUGGGGAAUAUUGAACAAUGGGAGCAAGCCUGAGGCAGCGACGCCGAGUGGGGGAUGACGGCCUUCGGGUUGUAAACUCCUUUCGCUAGGGACGAAGCUUUUUGUGACGGUACCUAGAUAAGAAGCACCGGCUAACUACGUG